rnacentral:rRNA from 1 species
UACGGAGGGUGCAAGCGUUGUCCGGAUUUAUUGGGUUUAAAGGGUGCGUAGGCGGCCCGUUAAGUCAGUGGUGAAAGCCUCCAGCUCAACUGGAGAACUGCCAUUGAUACUGACGGGCUUGAGUACAGACGAGGUUGGCGGAAUUGAUUGUGUAGCGGUGAAAUGCAUAGAUACAAUCAAGAACCCCGAUUGCGUAGGCAGCUCGCUGAGCCGAAACUGACGCUGAGGCACGAAAGCGUGGGGAGCGAACAGG